UUAUCUCAAUUUCGCUGUAACAGAAAUAAUCCUUCAGAAAUUAGAUAUGCGGUUGUUUUCUUAAAACAAAAACGAGCUCUAUAGUCACUAUUCCUCGCCGAGUUAGAUUGCAAAAAGAUUCAACCACGCCAUAAUUAUUGUUUGUAAUCAUCCCCACAGAUUUCGAUUUCUACGUAUGUACUUUCUGUUUUCCCGCAAAGAAGCUUUCGCUUUUGAAUUCAACAGUUAUUAUUGACUACCUUACUGGCCAAGAACAAAGAUCAAGAAACCUGCGGCAAUUAUUUGUAACAUACCUUUCUACUCGCCACCGCCUUAUUGUACAGUGCCUGGAGCUCUCUGUAAGGCUUUCACGCUGUCUAGAAAAAUUCGUAUAAAAUAGGUUCCUCCAAGCGCGAAUGCAAGUCAGUGCGCUCACCAUUGCCAUGCUGUUCUCAUGGCUAGUUUCAGUUUUGUUGGCAAUCCUUCACGCUGUAGCGUGGUGUGGCCUCUUGGCGUUUAUUUGUCUCGUCUUUUGGUCCAACAAUAACCGAGCGUUCGCCCGUUUAGUCUUUCUUGUGUCUCCGUUAAAUGCAGUGAUGAGUCUCUAAAUUUUGCUUGAAGGACGACAAGAGUUAUACCGGUCUGCAUUUAAUGUAUACGACGUUAUCUAAUACUCGAUCACUACUCACGACGGCAAAACAUUUAGAUAACUCGUUUCUCAUAAUCAAUUAUUGUAAAUUCCUAUUGUGCUUCCACUAUCACCAGUGUUAAUCCUACGCUACUGCUCGAAUUCGCCAGUAGCCUUUCACUGCUUGUUAUCUUCGUGUGUCCCUAAAUACAGACAAGAGUUGACCUCUCAGCCGCUUAAAAUGUUCUGUAAAUGUAGGCCGCCGUUUCACAAUGAAAAGACAACCUGUAAUGUUUCUUAAAAUCCUUUUAAGCGAUCCGACAGUAUGCUUGUUAAAUGCUAUACAUGUUUCUACCAUAUGUUUCACCAACUGCACAUCGGCUUUGUAUUGGCUAUAGCAUAGUAGCGUAGUCUGUACUAGAUAAAUUUGGAAUCAAAUUAAAUAUUUUUGUUUUUUGAUUAGUAGGUUACAAAAUAAGGUCCUCUUAACCAGUUCUCUAUCUGUUUAGAGUCUUUUUAGCUAGAACUAGUGUCUACCUGUUACAAAGUCUAAUCUCUUUAGGACUUUUGAAGAUUCGAUUGAGGUUAGCCAUGUUUGGAAUAUGCCGUUAUAUCGAAGCUGCGUUCGGCUGCGUUACCUUGCAUAGGCAUAGCACGAACAAAAUGUAAGGUAACAAAGUUUCCAUGAAAAAUCUAUUCGUGUCCUCAGUACGAAUUUUGCACAGUCAUGGUGUGCAAAAGGAACAGCUGCGGCAAGGGAAUUACGUUUGAUUUAUCGUCUUUCUAAUGACGUGAAUGGCGUUGCCAAGAAAACCCAAAGUGAAAAUUAAUGUCUUUUUCGUCUACAAGAUUGGUGAAAUAGUAUACUGUACACUCACGUAUAAAAAAAUAUGUGGCUUUCGGUUGAAAAGGAAAGGAGAAUCUAAUUGUUUCGCUGAAGACUGCUGACGAAUUUUCAACUCUGAACGUCAUCAGCAGGAAGUGAUAAGCUAAUCCAACCUGCACUUUUCGAAAUUUGAUAAUCUAAUAACAACAUGAAUUUUUCAGUAAUUUUUAGAGCAUUAGGAUUUCCCUAACCAAGGGUAUUUCCCGACAGGUAGGACAUGAAAGUGGAACAAUCUCUUUUUUCGUUUUAAGCAAUUGUAGUGUACUGCACGAACCCAAACGACUAACGAGUGAAACCUAUCCUUUUGCAGCUGCGAGUCAUUUAACACAUCAGUACAUUUUUUUCCUUCGCUUUCCAGUUACUACACCCGUUUGCCAUGUCUCUGGUUACUAUUUCAGAACAACUACAAGCCAUACAGACUGUCUGUAAGUAUUUUGCCGGUAUUAUAAAUAACUUAAUAAGCUAGGGGAAUCUGUUAUCUUUAUGUAGCCUACGCUAUCGGUAUUGGCUAUGAAUAAUCUUCGUAGUUUUUAUUUUUAUUUAUUUUUUGUUUGAAACUCUAAGGAAUGUGGCAUUCCGGUAAAGAAAUGAAAAAUAUCGCUUAAUUUAACUGACUCUCUUGAAUUUAGGUUCAAAUAUUCAUGGACAACAACAAAAAUGGAACACAAGUGAAAGUGAUGAAGUUAGACAUAAGGGACAGGCUGAAGGACUGUUGCGGAAUAACAACUAAAUAUUUCCAAAUUUGCGCGCUAGAAUUGUUAUCUUAGCCUUUUGAUUAAUAUUCCCUCUUUAGAUCGACCUGUUCUGAAUAUUUUGAAAUCUGUUGAAUGAAUAAAAAAAAAUUCAUUUGGAUUUGCGGAAAAGUAAGGAAUUCAAACGCAUUUUAACCACAAUUUACGGAUGAAAAAAAAGUCCUUCGGGAACCUCUCCAAGGAACCUUGGCGUAUUGGUAGAAUUCCGUUCCGUCCAGUCGUCCGUGGAUGCUAAGGGCUGUCAAUAGGUGGCUAAAUAUUUCAGUGUGUUUAGGGAUUUAACUAUUGCCCUAUUGUGUUGGUAGUUUUAGAGGGAAGUAGGGGGGGGGGGGUCAUCAAAUUGUCGAUAUCUGCAGACGACAUUCUAUCCACAAUUUCUUUAUUUUCGAGACGCUGUCCGAGAAGGUUACCUUAGACAUUUGCUCAUAGCGGGCCACUCUCUUUCCGGACGUUUUUCGUCAACGCCUGGUGAAGUCUGAGCUUCAUCGCAUUACGUGCACGUGAUCGCUGCCUUGUCAUGAGGAGGUUCUCCACCGUCUCCACUAAUUUGCAAGACAAUUGAGAUGAAAAGAGGAAAUUUGAAAAGGGUUCCUUGUUCAGUUUGAACAGUUAAUGAUGUCAAGUGUGCAGUGGCUUUGCAGACAUUCAGUUGAGAGAUGCCCUGAGAUGAAUGAUCAAAUGCCGAGCCUAUUCUCAUAUCAUCUUUUUCAAUGGAGAUCCUGUCCGAGAAGGUAUAGCUUGGUUGUUGCAGGCAACUUUCUCUCUGGACAUUGUCAGUCUUUUAAAUGCUUUUUAUUGCGUUACGUGCACGGAUCGCUGCUGUUUGUUUAAGAUUCUUCAAGAGGGUCUCUACUACAUUGCAAGACAAUAUUGUGAUGGAAAUAGGAAAUUUGAUAUAGUAAUAAUAAUGUUUCCAUGGUCAGUUGAGCAGUUUAGUUGUGGGUGUUUGGUGUGCAGUGAUAUUUCAGGAGAGAUGUGUUAAAAAGUAGUCAUGUUGGCUUUAGAGUUAUUUCCAGGGAGAAAGCGCCUGAUGCUGGCAACAUGGUAAUUGUGUGCAAUUGAGACCGACUUCAUCUUCUCUGGAGUCUGGACACUGUCAGUUACAUUGUUCGUGAUCAAUGCGGUCAACGCCAACCUUCUUCUUCACAAAUAUCUUUAAGUGGCUUAGUGAAGUUAAGAUUUUUCAUGGCAUUUGAAUCUCCACGUGGACUUGUUGCGGUGAGCUGGUGAAGGGUGUGGCGAGCUGUUGCAUGACGACUGUGUGCUGGUGUGGGGAAGUGCUGCAUGCUGUCUGUGGUUUAUUGUCAGUUGUUGCUCUUUGGUAUGGAGUUCAUGUUCAGGUAAAAGAUUGCUUUCUUUAUCUGUUGAAGAAUG
rnacentral:lncRNA from 1 species